CAGCAGACACAUUCCAGCCAAUCAACAGCAGACCCUCCCUCCCAGACCCUCCCACCUCCUGGACAGCAUCCAUUUUACAUUCAUUGUGAAGCUGCAUUCUUAGUGAGCUGUCCAGGAGGUGGGGGGGGUCUGGGACGGAGGGUCUGCUGCUGAUUGGCUGGAAUGUGUCUGCUG
rnacentral:miRNA from 1 species